rnacentral:sRNA from 1 species
CCGAGUAACUUAGCAUCAAGAGAUGAGAGAAGAACAUACCUCCUUGACAAUGCAUCAGCAACUACAUUGUCCUUACCUUUCUUAUAUUUGAUGACAUAAGGAAAUGUCUCAAUGAAUUCAACCCACCUUGCAUGCCUCUUGUUGAGCUUCUGUUGUCCUUUAAGAUGCUUCAAGGACUCAUGGUCUGUGUGAAUGACAAACUCCUUAGGCCAGAGGUAAUGUUGCCACGUUUGUAAUUGAUAAUAGGUUUUUCAGUCAAUUAUCCUAAAACACCAAUCAUGUCGUUGUAGUAUUUUAGGUUGUCAAUCCAAAUGGGUGUGAUGCUAACAAUCAAGAUGUGAUCAGAAGUCACUAAGUCAAGCCAAGCAAUAACAGGUUUUGGUGUGUUCUAGCAAUCCUAAGUGAACAAGCAGGAAACAGAAAAUCAAACAGAAACAGUAAAACACUCGACCAACACAGCUCUUUGCAGAGCCCUGGGUGAGGUCGAGUGACAGGUCGAGUAACAGACAGAAAAUGAAACAAAGAUACUCGACUGCACAGUCUGUUGCCAGACAACUGGGUGGUCGAGUAUCAGGUCGAGUAACAGUAAAGAAUUGCAGAAACUAAGCAACAGGUGACAGGAUGCAGUAAACAGCAGUAGAGUAAACAAUAAAAUCAAUCAGACAAAGAAUUCCUAAGGAUGGGGUAAUUGAGUAGUUUCGUUUCCUCAGUUUACAGGUGAUUGACAUGCUCAACAAAUUAACCCUAGACAACAAGUUCGUUAACCAAAUCUAAGUGCCACCGCAACAGAGACUCUCAAGCUAACCUAGUCCCAGACUCAAUCACCAUUGACGAGAGCUAACCUAACAGGCAUUACGAAUCAACAAGUUAAAGCCAAAACGCUCCCUGCAACCAAUACCUUGGUACAGGGUCACGAAUCUCUGGAAUUAGUGGUUCAGGCAUUUCAUCGAACACCUUUUGGGCGCGGAAAUGUCUGGGCUCAAAUUCCAGUUGAUCAGAAAGUAAUAGGCAUUAAGAACAACUAAUCCAGAAGGGAUCUAUCAAUCAAUACUCAAUCACCUAGCAUACUGAGAAUUCUACACUACUCUAACCCAUCCUCAGAAACCUAUUCACUACUCAGACAUCAUGACAGAAAGCAUAAACGUUGAACAGGUUGAAGACAUGAUAACAGCAGUAUGAUAACAGAAUGAAUAACAGUAAACGAAAAUCAAGAACAGAAACUGAAUAUUGAAUACUGAAUAGAUAAAGAGAAAUCCGGAUUACAAAAAGUCUAGAACACAAGGUCUGCGGAAAUAAAAACUAGGUAAAAAACUACUCCAUUCGAAAAUGAGAAGUACAUGCUACUUAUAGCCAAAUAUCCCGAAACCCUAAUACUCAAAACGACGAAGUAUUUGGACGGGUUAAGAACUGUACUCGACCAACGUGGUCGAGUGAGAGCUCGAGUGAAUAGCUGGAGUCUUCUUUUCUUCCUUGUGCUCGAGUGUCUGGUUGAGUGCGGAAUGAAGAAGGCUCUGAAGCUUGUCAUCGAGUAUGCAGUCGAGUGGUGUGAUGGAGAUACUCGACCUCUAGGUAGAGUGAGGAGGUCGAGUGGUUGUCUGAUGAUGGAGGUGAAGACACUCGACCUCAAGGUCGAGUGAAGUGAUCGAGUGACCGUGUGGUGAUGGAGAUGAUGGCACUCGACCUCGGGGUCGAGUGGUGAGGUGAAGUGGUGAUGUGCUCUACUCGACCUGGUUGUCGAGUGGUCUCUUGAGAUCUUGAAGCUCCUACUCGACCUCUGGGUCGAGUGGUUUGUCAUGAUCAGGUCUGCUUCUUCCAGAUAGCUCGUCAACAGCUCCAAAUCACCUGAAAUCAACGCAAAUAUGCAACAUGCAUGCAAAACUAUCCUAAACAUGCAAAGUGAUGACAAAUGAUGUGAAAUGGUAUAAAACAGUGAUGAUAUGAUGCUAAAGUGAUGACAAAUGGAUGCUCAAAACAUGCAAAAUACACACUUAUCAACUCCCCCAAACUUAGUCUUUGCUUGCCCUCAAGCAAACAAUCAAGAACAAGCUGGAGGUGAGGUUUGAAAGCGGGGACUCAGAGCCAAAGCACUAGAUAAACCAGAUGAAAUCAAUGUCCAAGUUGAAAGUUCUAAGCUGCAAGAUCGAAUUCUACUUAAAAACGUUAGCCAUGCCUCAUUAAUCAAUCAAUCCGACUCAUAUGCUCGACCUACAUAAGUUUUCAAAUCCACCAAUCCCUUUAACAUUCAUUAGUUCUGGAACGUGAAUCAAGCAAUGCAUCAUCAAAGAACUCAUUUGGCUAAGGUAAAAGGUCAAGAGACAAAGAUGGUCCCUUACAGAAUAGGCUUUAGUAACAGGGGAUCUCUCAAAAAAUGAUUAAGCUUUAGUAGAAUGCUAAAGGUAAGUCCCAAUCUAUGCAUACAGAGAUAAGAUCCCAUCUACCCAGAGUACAUCAAAUGAAGCUCUAAUGGUAAUCCCAUCUCCAAUCCCAAUACAAGAACUAAACUCUACCCUUUGCAUUCAUGAAUCUUUUAAGCCCUUUUUCUAAUCAUUCUUUUCUUUUCUCUUAACUCUAGGCGAAGCUUCAACACUUUGAUAUAUCUAGCGGAUUUGGAUUUCUUUAACAACUAAGGUUCCUGUUUUUAACAUUUUAAAACCAAGGGCUUUUGUCCAUCUUCAAUAGCUAACAAGAACUCUUUCUUUUCUUUACAAAUCCCAAAACCUUUACUAGACUUUUUCUGCUUUUUUAGCUUACUUCACCUAGAGUCCUUUACCUUUUCUCAUCAAUGAAUCAACCUCCCCCUUUU